UUUCUGGGGAACUACCCAACCCAUUCCUGCCUCCCGGUGACCCCCUAGGAAGUGUGGAGGACCGUCUGCCGGUGGUCUCAGUGACUCGCCGGUCCCCUCCCGCGCAGGGGGCGGGCGGAGUUCAGGAGCCGAAAAGGCGGGAAGAAGGAAUGAAGGACCAUCAAAUCUCAGAUGGUCCACUUCAAAAAAAAACCUUGAAGACAGUGGCAAUACUUUACUUCCCAUCUGAGUUCCCUCCAGGGUUCAUUUAACAGGAUGACACAUGAACAUCAGGAGUAGGGGACCUGGGAUCAAAUCCUGCCUCCUCUGGUUACUGUGUAGGUUCUGGAUGUUUUGCCUUACCCCGUAUACUGAGGAAGCUAGCCCACUCACAAGACUCCACUAUAUGGGUACCCUCUAUACAUAAAUG